CGCUGGGUUAGGUACGGGUUGGGUAGUUUUGGGUAGUUUUAACCCAUAAUGUUAACCCAGCCAGUAACCCAUUUCAUUGGGUUACGAGACUGCUCUGAUGUCCGUGAAAGAUCGUUUCAAAUUUCAACUGACAAUAUGGGCCACGCUGCAGAAAAUGUUCAAGAAGUCGGUGAAAUUAAAGCCCUAUGUAAGUUGAGAAGAUAGCCAGGGACCCUGUUGCUGGGUGGAGCUGUCUUGUUACUGUACGUGACCCCCAUGUCUGAAAAUAAGUGGAACUAGUCGGUUUCUGAAGCAAAGAAGAUGGCCAGGACUCCUUGCUGAUAGAUGGGAGCCAGAUAGAGUUGGUAGAGCCGAGAAGAUGGCCUGGAUUGCUGCUGGACGGAAGCUGUCUAGUUACAUUGAUUCCCCUUGUAGGACCGUGUCGGAAAAUGCUGAGAAAGACCAACGGUUUUUAAAAAGAAGAUGGCCAGGAUUCCUUACUGCUGGAUGGAAGCGGUCUAGUUGCAGUACAUUAAGCCCCCUUGUAGGACCAUGUUGGAAAAUGCUGAGAAAGACCAACAGCUUCUAAAGCUGAGAAGAUGGCCAGGGACUCUUUGCUGCUGGAUGGAAGCUGUCUAGAGCUGCUAGAGUGUCACUCUGGUUGCCACCUUCUCCCAUAAGGACACGUUGACUGAGGGAGAUAUUGAGCCCUGCCCUGACUCUGCACACAACCAAGGAGAGUGCCAGUAGCGCGCGCGCACACACACACACACACACACACACACACACACACACACACACACAC